AUGAGAAGGGAAGGAAACGGCCACGCACAACUGUUGGGGCCCGAGGUGUUCUUUUCUCGGCGCUUGGCAUCCUGCUCCGGCCGUGGGGCUGGGGCAGCCAGAAGAGGAGUAAGCGUUGGUGUUCGAAGCCAAGUCAGAACAGGACAUUGACUUUUCCACUGGGAACAGUAAGAGUUGCAGAGUUGAAGCCUGAUUGGACCUUUCUUGAUCCUAUUUUCUUCUAUUCCCAGAGGUAACAGAAUCCUCAAAUCUUCCCUGGCCAGUAUGGUAGCCCCUACCCACAUGUAAUUCCUGAUCAUUUGAAAUGUGACCAGUGCCACACGUUGAAAAGAUAAUAUUUAGGGGCUUCCCUGGUAUCUCGGUGGUAAAGAAUCCGCCUGCCAAUGCAGGAUGCACAGGUUCGAUCCCUGGUUCAGGAAGAUUCCACAUGCUGCGGAACAGCCAAGCACAUGCACCACAGCUAUUGAGCCUGUGCUCAAGAGCCCGGGAACCACAAUUACUGAGCCCAUGAGCCACAACUGCUGACGCCUACACGCCCUAGAGCCUGUGCCCA